rnacentral:misc_RNA from 1 species
GUGAAUCAUCAAAUUUUUGAACGCAAAUUGCACUCUCCUCGGAGAGUAUGCCUGUUUGAGGGUCAGCCUAUAAAAAAUCGACAUCGUUGGUGUUUAGCGGUGGCGUUAGUUGGAAAUUGGGUCAUCUUAAAUCAUUUUGAUUUAAGGGACUUAAACUUUUCUUUUGGUUCCAUGAACGUUUAUAAGAUAUAUUUCUUUAGACGUUUAAGUUAUCGAUUUUUA